rnacentral:rRNA from 1 species
GACAGAGGGUGCAAACGUUGUUCGGAAUUACUGGGCGUAAAGGGCUCGUAGGCGGCCAACUAAGUCAGACGUGAAAUCCCUCAGCUUAACUGGGGAACUGCGUCUGAUACUGGAUGGCUUGGAUUCGGGAGAGGAAUGCGGAAUUCCAGGUGUAGCGGUGAAAUGCGUAGAUAUCUGGAGGAACACCGGUGGCGAAGGCGGCAUUCUGGACCGACAUUGACGCUGAGGAGCGAAAGCCAGGGGAGCAAACGGG